rnacentral:rRNA from 1 species
GAUGAACGCUGGCGGCGUGCCUAAUACAUGCAAGUCGAGCGAACAGACGAGGAUCUCGCUCCUCUGACGUUAGCGGCGGACGGGUGAGUAACACGUGGAUAACCUACCUAUAAGACUAGGAUAACUUCGUGAAACCUGAGCCAAUACCGGAUAAUAUAUAGAACCGCAUGGUUCAACAGUGAAAGACGGUUUUGCUGGCACUUAUAGAUGGUUCCGCGCCGCAUUAGCUAGUUGGUAAGGUAACGGCUUACCAAGGCAACGAUGCGUAGCCGACCUGAGAGGGUGAUCGGCCACACUGGAACUGAGACACGGUCCAGACUCCUACGGGAGGCAGCAGUAGGGAAUCUUCCGCAAAGGGCGAAAGCCUGACGGAGCAACGCCGCGUGAGUGAUGAAGGUCUUCGGAUCGUAAAGCUCUGUUAUUAGGGAAGAAGAAAAGUGUAUGUAACUAUGCACGUCUUGACGGUACCAAAACAGAAAGCCACGGCUAACUUCGUG